AAAGGUUUCCUGGGCAAGGUUAAUCCGCUCAGGGUUAGUCGGAGCCUAAGGUGAGGCCGAAAGGCGUAGCCGAUGGACACACGGUUAAUAUUCCGUGACCUCCGUAGGAGUUACCGAUGCGGGGACGCAGACCCAAGGUUGGCUGGAUUAAUGGUUAUUCCAGUCGAGUGAGGGGAGAUCCGGAGUGGCAAAUCCGCCGGGUCGUCUGCCUGGAAAAGCCGCUAAGGGCCGAAGGAGUCCGUACCAUAAACCGACACAGGUGGACAUGUAGAAUAUACUCAGGCGCUCGGGUGAUGGGAUGUUGAGGAACUAGGCAAAUUGACCCCGUAACUUCGGGAGAAGGGGUGCCUUCGCAAGAAGGCCGCAGUGAAACGCGAGGGGCGACUGUUUAACAAAAACACAGGUCUCUGCAAAGUCAACAAAACGACGUAUAGGGGCUGACGCCUGCCCGGUGCCGGAAGGUUAAAGGGAGUGGUUAGCGCAAGCGAAGCUACGAACUGAAGCCCCGGUGAACGGCGGCCGUAACAAUAACGGUCCUAAGGUAGCGAAAUUCCUUGUCGGGUAAGUUCCGACCUGCACGAAUGGCGUAACGAUCCCUCGACUGUCGGGACAUCCCGCCCGGCGAACUUGUGGUUCCGGUGAAGACGCCGGAUGCCCGCCACUAGACGGAAAGACCCCGUGCACCUUUACUAUACCCUAUCAGUGAAUUAUGGGGCGAUCUGCGCAGGAUAGGUGGGAGGCUUUGAUUCCGGGUUCUCGGACUCGGAGGAGCCAACGGUGAGAUACCACCCUGAUCGUUCUGUGUUUCUAACCUAUUCCCGUUAUCCGGGAAAGGGACACUGGUAGGCGGGUAGUUUGACUGGGGCGGUCGCCUCCUAAAUUGUAACGGAGGCGCUCGAAGCUUGGUUCAGGAGGUUUGGAAAUCCUCCUUCGAGUGCAAUGGCAUAAACCAGGUUAACUGCGAGACCUACAAGUCAAGCAGAUGCGAAAGCAGGACAUAGUGAUCCGGUGGUUCUGUAUGGAAGGGCCAUCGCUCGACGGAUAAAAGGUACGCCGGGGAUAACAGGCUGAUCGAAGCCAAGAGUUCAUAUCGACGCUUCGGUUUGGCACCUCGAUGUCGGUUCAUCGCAUCCUGGGGGUGUAGAAGCUCCCAAGGGUUAGGCUGUUCGCCUAUUAAAGCGGUACGUGAACUGGGUUCAGAACGUCGCGAGACAGUUCGGUCCCUAUCUGUGGUGGGCGUAGGAGAUUUGAGAGGGCUUGGCCGUAGUACGAGAGGACCCGGCUGAACAGACCUCUUGUGAUUCUGUUGUCACACCAGUGGCACAGCAGAGUAGCGAAGUCUGGUUAGGAUAAGCGCUGAAUGCAUAUAAGUGCGAAACCUGCCUCAAGAUGAGAUCUCCCAAGCGAAAGCUAAGAAGGGCCGUGGAAGACUACCACGUUGAUAGGACGGAUGUGUAAGCUCAGUAAUGGGUUUAGCUUACCGUUACUAAUAGCCCGUUCGGCUUGACCAU
rnacentral:rRNA from 1 species